GGCGGCGUACCCAAGUGGUUAAGGGAGCGGACUGCAAAUCCGCGAUGCGGCGGUUCGAAUCCGCCCGCCGCCUCCA
rnacentral:tRNA from 1 species